rnacentral:lncRNA from 1 species
AUCUUCACGAUAGAACCCAAAAAACCCAACCCUAACCUCAUUCUUCUCCAUUUCCAUGAACUUUCUUCUCAGCGAUGGAGACCCAUGGCAACAUCAAAUCUAAACAUUUCGAAGAUAACGACCCAUACUCGUUUUCUCAUCGACGGGGACCCACACUCGUUUUAAAGAUUUUGAAGACAGGCUAGUGUUUAACACCUUUCACUUUUGUGUUUUUCUCUUUUAUGAGUUUAAUCAAUAGGUGUAAGAAAUUGAACAAAAUUUCACAUUUUCUUUGAUGUAACAAUUUAAUUUAAUAGGGAGGAAGUUCUGAUAGUGGUAGAAGGUCCUCUUGUAAGUUCUUAUACUUCUUUCUGUGGUUUUUCUUUUUAUCUUAUCAAUUUAAUUUCAACUAUAACAAACUUUCACAUUCUUUCAUAUUUUUCUAUUCAAUUUGAUUAUGAAUGGUUUGUUUAACCGAGAAGUAGACAUUAAAAUACACAUAGAAAUAGAAAAAUAAUCUAUUUAAUCCAUUCCAUUGCCAAUUCUUGCAUGGUUUGUUUAACAGUGUUUUUUAGAAUGUGGAUUGUGGCUCUGUUUUAUACAAUUUUUUUCUAAGCAUAUUUUGAUUGUGGAGCUGGAAAGGGACUUUGGAAUCCAACCCAUUUGCUUUAAUUGCACAAAUUGCUAGUGGAAGAAAAUAAAGUUGCUACUCAUGAAGUCCAACUAAUGGUUUGCUAUUAUUAUUAGCCUAUUUGUCCAACUCUAUUGUCAAUUAUGAGAAACUUCCCCCCUGAGUUUGGUAUAUUAUAUAGUGAAUAGAAAUAUUAUUAUCUCCUUCUUGGUAAUGAAAAUAAUAAAUAGGAUAAGGAUAUGGUAUAUUGUGACAAGCCACGAGCUUAGGAGCUGAAAUUAACUUUGGGGUAUCAAAGAUUGUGUAAUUUUGUAAAUGGGCAUUUGAUUUUGUGAGAUGUGAAGUUUUGAGAAGUUUGAAUGAUGAUGGUAAUGGAGAAAAUUUUAUAGGAAUUAUUAAGGAUAUUCUUACAAAAUCCAACAUUGAUUCCAUUGAAGUUGCACAAAAUUUGGUCUCUCAUUUGAUGAGUUUCAGCUCACUUUGUUGAAGGGUUUCAUUGACUGCUUGAGCUUGAAGGAAAUUUAAAGGGAAAGAGAAAGAAGACAGGAUUUGUGGGAGUUGUUUGAAGGAGAAAGGAUUUGAUAAGCUUUUUCUUUUGGUAAAAAUGGAGGGGAUUUUGAAGGGACUCCUUUAGAAAAAUAAAUUGGGAGUUUUUUCUCAACUAAUUUUAGGUCAUUGAUUGUGAAGGGUUUAUAUUGUGAUUCAUAUGAGAUGAAGAAGAAGAGUGAUCAUUAUGGUUAUUAUUGUUCUUCAUUGGAAAUUCAUCGUCUUGGAAAGUUUGAAUAUUAUCUCUAAUUAUGGUCACCAUUUUUAUGAUGGGAUUUUGUACGGUACUUGAUUUUGUACUAUUCUAGUUCAGAAAAUUGAAAACAUUGGAACAUAUAGGAAUAAUGUACUAUUCUUGGGUCUAUUUUAUAAUAAUUUUAACUUGUGAGCUUAUGCAGGAUCAAUGUUUGUUAUUAGUCUUUUGUUAACGAGGCAUUUGACCCAUUUCCUUGUUGGAAAGUAAGUCCAAUAAACUCUUAUGAUAACUAUUGUAUAACUUG